AAUUAUGUGUGAGUGGCUGACACCUUCCUACCCCCACCCUAAACCCCGUUUUUAGUUCUGUUUGCCGUCGUCCGAGGCGCUACAGUCGUAAUAAUUAAGUACAUAUAUCGUCGAUAGAUGACUCUGUCGACCAUAGUGUUUUCACGGAUUGACAAACAUUUUUUGACAUUGACAAUAAUAUUAACAUGCAUUUGAGACACUGUUAUUUGUAAUUUGAGAAGACAAUUUUUUGUAUUACAAAUGGUAAACCCAGGUUUUCAGCCAUUCGGUGGGGUCAAUGAUGAAAUUGAUUUCUAAAUGGGAAAUCAAACAUCCUCUUCAGCUCACUUUGGAGGCUGCAGAUACAGCAGAUUUAAUACUUUUCUUAGAUGAAUUAUUUGAUUCAUUAAAUGUGAGCAAAGCAUCUAAAUCUGCUGCAAAAUUGAUGAAGAGACCAGUGAGUAAGUUUUUUGGGAGAAUGCAAUAGAAAUUUUGAAGAGUAUGAAAUUCUAUUGUCCCAAAAACAAACGCUUGGUUGUCGUACCCAGUAUAAAAAAUUUGAUUAGUAGUCUAAAGGGUUUUCUUUAUUUGAGAAGAAAACUUCUUGAUGACUACAAAUUUAAAUAUUUUUUGACUGGGGCGUUCAAUCAAGAUUGUUUAGAAAACUUUUUUGGCAAUAUUCGGGCCCAUGGAGUGAGGAACACUAACCCGAAUGUUGAACAUUUUAUUGCAUCAUUCAAAACUUUAGUGAUAAAUAAUUUUCUUUCAGUUCAUUCUGUAGGAUAUAAUUGUCAGGAAGAUAAAACAGAAAGUUUUUGUUUGGACAAUCUAAAAUCUUUCUUGACAACAAAUAGAACACAAGGUAUUCCUGCUUCGCAAGAUAUUUCAUCUAUAGAUAUUCCUAAAAUUAUUACUUUGCACGAGGCCACUAAAUUAAGCAGAUGCACCCUCGUUUAUAUGAGUGGUGCAAUUAUCAAAAUUAUUUUCAAAAAAAAAACUAUACAAAAUUGUGAAAAAUGUAAAACCAAUUUGUUGAGUUAUUCAGAGAAUGUUAAUGAUUCCGAAUUUAUACUUUGUAAAAAAUAUAAAUUCGGAAAUUUAAUCAAGCCUGGACAAUAUAUCAACUUCUUGUUCAGGCAUUCACUCAAUAAAUUGUUUUACAUUAUUCCUAGAAUGUGCGAGAGAAGGAAUAUCUCAGAAUUUCUACAGAAUGAACUGAAAUCAAAUUUUAAUUUUAGAGUUUUGAAUUGUCCAAUUCAUUCACUUGAUGAAAUAUUAUGUUCAACAAUCGUGAGAUGUUCUUUAUUCUGGUGGUGCCAACAAGUUAAUAGAAUUUAAAAUGGGAAAGAUUCCAAAUUCUUUAAAUUUCUAUUGCUGAAUCCCAAUAAGGCUUUCAUUGACCCCAUCAAAAUUCAAGCUAAGCAAAUUUUUGAAAAAAAAAAAAAAAAAAUUCAGAAAAUAGAUUCAUAUUUUAUUCAUUUAUAUAUUUAUUCAUUUAUUUACUCAACUCAUUUUUAUUAUAAUACAUUCUUAUUUUUUUAUAUUUAAUAUAUUUAUUCAUUUACUCAACUCAAUACUCAACUCAGUUUAUUUGUACAAUAUUAUUUGAAGUGUUCAUUUUGUUUUUAUAGUCAAAUAAACUUCAUUAUUAUUAUUAUUAUAAUACAAAAACCAUUAUAUUAUUUUAAUGCAUUCAUGUUUUUUUUUAUAUUUUAUAUAUUUUCAUUUUAUAUCGACUUGGAUACUUAUAUACAUUUACUUAUUAUAUACAUAUAUUUUUGCUCAUAAAAUCAACCUUGUUAUUUUUUCUUAUGGAUGAUGAAAAUGUACAUAUUUGUUAUUCUUUUUUGUUGUAUUAUAUAUAUUUUUUUUGUUCGUGGGAAAUAUAUACAUUAUUUGAGAAAUUUUGAAUUUUAUUUAUGAAUUCCUAUAAUGCUAAUAAUUUAACUAAUUUGAAUUUCGCGCCAAGUGCGGAUUCAGUAUGUUGUCAAAGUAGGUAUCUGUAAU